GCCGCCGUAGCUCAGCCUGGUUAGAGCGCCACGCUCAUAACGUGGAGGUCGCGCGUUCAAAUCCCGUCGGCGGCA
rnacentral:tRNA from 2 species